rnacentral:rRNA from 1 species
UACAGAGGGGGCAAGCGUUGUUCGGAAUUACUGGGCUUAAAGGGCGCGUAGGCGGCCUUCUAAGUCGAACGUGAAAUCCCCGGGCUCAACCCGGGAACUGCGUCCGAGACUGGAAGGCUUGAAUCCGGGAGAGGGAUGUGGAAUUCCAGGUGUAGCGGUGAAAUGCGUAGAUAUCUGGAGGAACAUCGGUGGCGAAGGCGGCAUCCUGGACCGGUAUUGACGCUGAGGCGCGAAAGCCAGGGGAGCAAACGGG